rnacentral:rRNA from 1 species
GCAGCAGUGGGGAAUAUUGGACAAUGGGCGAAAGCCUGAUCCAGCAAUGCCGCGUGAGUGAUGAAGGCCUUAGGGUUGUAAAGCUCUUUUACCCGGGAUGAUAAUGACAGUACCGGGAGAAUAAGCCCCGGCUAACUCCGUGCCAGCAGCCGCGGUAAUACGGAGGGGGCUAGCGUUGUUCGGAAUUACUGGGCGUAAAGCGCGCGUAGGCGGCUUUGUAAGUUAGAGGUGAAAGCCCGGAGCUCAACUCCGGAAUUGCCUUUAAGACUGCAUCGCUAGAAUUGUGGAGAGGUGAGUGGAAUUCCGAGUGUAGAGGUGAAAUUCGUAGAUAUUCGGAAGAACACCAGUGGCGAAGGCGACUCACUGGACACAUAUUGACGCUGAGGUGCGAAAGCGUGGGGAGCAAACAGGAUUAGAUAC